rnacentral:lncRNA from 1 species
AAGUCGGGUUUGCCAAGCCUCGAUUUUGCCUUCAUAUAAUGGGCAGAAGUUGGAUUGUUGAUGGUAGAGCUAUUGCAUGAAAGGAUGAAACAUGUAGUCCGCCUUUGGUAAAUCAAAUCAAAGACUGGAGCAAUUCAGGAUUGACCACGAUGCCAUUUCAGGAUUGAUAGUUGUGAUGUGUCAGUAGAGUAGUGGCCUGGGCUUACCGUUGGUGUGAAAUUGGAACCCACUGAUCUGAUCUUGAGCUCUUAGAUCAUUCGGCAGCCAAAUGUGGUGUGGGAAAUCAAAAACCACACCAAUUAAUUAAUGAGUUCAUCCCUACACUUGAUGUAGAUGAAGGAAUAUGUUCCAAACAUCCUGAAAAUCUUCUUGGAUAGUGAAGUUGAGAAAAUAUUAUAUGGACUCAGCUAUAUAGGAGCAACUAAUGCAUCAUUGUUGGGGGUGAGAUGGACAAACUUGCAAUUGAAGAAGAGGUUUAAAGAGCGGUGGUGUUCCUCAAAAAGUUUCUUACAAGGAUUAACCAUCUCAAAAACAGGUAUUAGUUUAAUUUUAAGUUCAAAUUAGAUCAUUUUAUAUUAAUAUUUUGGAUAGUAACAUAAAAUUUUGGUAAAUAUUAGGAUUAUGGAUUUGAGAGUUAUACAGUUUAAU